GUACGUACAAGCAGUGGGAGCACAGGUUUACCUGUGUGACUGCGUACCUUUUGUAUAAUGGGUCAGCGACUUAUAUUCUGUAGCAAGGUUAACCGAAUAGGGGAGCCGGAGGGAAACCGAGUCUUAAUUGGGCGUUAAGUUGCAGGGUAUAGACCCGAAACCCGGUGAUCUAGCCAUGGGCAGGUUGAAGGUUGGGUAACACUAACUGGAGGACCGAACCGACUAAUGUUGAAAAAUUAGCGGAUGACCUGUGGCUGGGGGUGAAAGGCCAAUCAAACCGGGAGAUAGCUGGUUCUCCCCGAAAGCUAUUUAGGUAGCGCCUCGUGAAUUCAUCUCCGGGGGUAGAGCACUGUUUCGGCUAGGGGGCCAUCCCGGCUUACCAACCCGAUGCAAACUGCGAAUACCGGAGAAUGUUAUCACGGGAGACACACGGCGGGUGCUAACGUCCGUCGUGAAGAGGGAAACAACCCAGACCGCCAGCUAAGGUCCCAAAGUCAUGGUUAAGUGGGAAACGAUGUGGGAAGGCCCAGACAGCCAGGAUGUUGGCUUAGAAGCAGCCAUCAUUUAAAGAAAGCGUAAUAGCUCACUGGUCGAGUCGGCCUGCGCGGAAGAUGUAACGGGGCUAAACCAUG
rnacentral:rRNA from 1 species